rnacentral:rRNA from 2 species
GCUUGCUUUUAAAAGGUUAGCGGCGGACGGGUGANUAACACGUGGGUAACCUGCCUGUAAGACUGGGAUAACUCCGGGAAACCGGGGCUAAUACCGGAUGCUUGUUUGAACCGCAUGGUUCAAACAUAAAAGGUGGCUUCGGCUACCACUUACAGAUGGACCCGCGGCGCAUUAGCUAGUUGGUGAGGUAAUGGCUCACCAAGGCAACGAUGCGUAGCCGACCUGAGAGGGUGAUCGGCCACACUGGGACUGAGACACGGCCCAGACUCCUACGGGAGGCAGCAGUAGGGAAUCUUCCGCAAUGGACGAAAGUCUGACGGAGCAACGCCGCGUGAGUGAUGAAGGUUUUCGGAUCGUAAAGCUCUGUUGUUAGGGAAGAACAAGUACCGUUCGAAUAGGGCGGUACCUUGACGGUACCUAACCAGAAAGCCACGGCUAACUACGUGCCAGCAGCCGCGGUAAUACGUAGGUGGCAAGCGUUGUCCGGAAUUAUUGGGCGUAAAGGGCUCGCAGGCGGUUUCUUAAGUCUGAUGUGAAAGCCCCCGGCUCAACCGGGGAGGGUCAUUGGAAACUGGGGAACUUGAGUGCAGAAGAGGAGAGUGGAAUUCCACGUGUAGCGGUGAAAUGCGUAGAGAUGUGGAGGAACACCAGUGGCGAAGGCGACUCUCUGGUCUGUAACUGACGCUGAGGAGCGAAAGCGUGGGGAGCGAACAGGAUUAGAUACCCUGGUAGUCCACGCCGUAAACGAUGAGUGC